GGGCGCGGCCGAGGGAGGCGGGCUGGGCCGGCUGCCGCUGCCGACAGCCACGGAGGGGCUGGGCGGAGGGAGGCCGGGCUCAGCUUGACAGGAGCGAGGGCGGGAGGCAAGGAAGGAGGCGCCGGUGGCUGAGCUCGCCGGGCGCGGCAGCCUGAUUGUUUCACAUCCCUUGGGAGUAUCCAUGUGCUGCCUCCAGGACCCUAGAACAACAAGACAGACGAAGUAGAUGGAGCGACUGCAAACGCACGCUUGCGAUCAGAGCUGUCCACCAUCGAAUUUCUUGCACCUUCUGUCAAACCAUCUGCCACAGGCUAAUGAAUAGCCAGCGUGCUGGAUUAGAUGAAGCACCAAUAUGAGCUGUUCCGAUAGCUCCCGCCUUGCUGGCAGUGGGAGCUCUGUGGUUAAUGAGGCGUCGAGUGAAAUUGUUGAGGGCGGCGUGGCAAAGUGUUCUUGCUACGAGUGCCGCACUGCCAGAUGCUGUUGAAAGAGGGGUGAAGAACCCACAUCGCUGGUUUUGGAGCACGUUUCAGUGUUUUCUCACGAGCCUUCAUUUUACAAAGGGACAUCUCAGAAACCUCUGUCCCGUGCCCAUAUGAGUUUCCUGAAGCACGUCCAGAUACCUGCUUAACCUCCCUCAAAAUACUGAAGGAAAGUUCUUAAGUUGCUUUUUUGUCUAAAACAAGACCAAGUAUACCUGUAGCGUCACUCACGCAAGACAUGUGCCCUCCUUAGUUGACAUCUGAGGACCAGGACUCACUACAGCAUCUCAAGCAGCACUAGAUGUGUGUGUGGGGGCAACUGAAUCAAGUCCAUGCUGGCUGUAAAAUGAUUAUAAAAUAUCUGAGCCAAAUAAUCCCGUUAAUUUCUGAAAUAAGUCCUCAGAAAUAUCAUGAAGAAAAUACUGGUCAGAAAUUUUAUAGCGUUAGAUGCUUUUAAUGAGACUAGAAGCAUUAUUAAAUGAAUUUUUAA